UCUUACCAUGCAGUCGACGGAAGGCCCUGCUUGCAGGGUACUCGAGUGGCGAACGGGUGAGUAACACGUGGGUGAUCUGCCCUGCACUUCGGGAUAAGCCUGGGAAACUGGGUCUAAUACCGGAUAGGACCAUCGUUUACUGUCGGUGGUGGAAAGUUUUUCGGUGCAGGAUGAGCCCGCGGCCUAUCACCUUGUUGGUGGGGUAAUGGCCUACCAAGGCGUCGACGGGUAGCCGGCCUGAGAGGGUGGACGGCCACAUUGGGACUGAGACACGGCCCAGACUCCUACGGGAGGCAGCAGUGGGGAAUAUUGCACAAUGGGCGCAAGCCUGAUGCAGCGACGCCGCGUGGGGGAUGAAGGCCUUCGGGUUGUAAACUCCUUUCACCAGGGACAAAGCUUUUGUGACGGUACCUGCACAAGAAGCACCGGCUAACUACGUGCCAGCACCCGCGGUAAUACGUAGGGUGCGAGCGUUGUCCGGAAUUACUGGGCGUAAAGAGCUCGUAGGUGGUUUGUCGCGUCCUCUGUGAAAUUCCGGGGCUUAACUCCGGGCGUGCAGGCGAUACGGGCAUAACUUGAGUGCUGUAGGGGAGACUGGAAUUCCUGGUGUAGCGGUGAAAUGCGCAGAUAUCAGGAGGAACACCGAUGGCGAAGGCAGGUCUCUGGGCAGUUACUGACGCUGAGGAGCGAAAGCAUGGGUAGCGAACAGGAUUAGAUACCCUGGUAGUCCAUGCCGUAAACGGUGGGCGCUAAGGUGUGGGGGUCUUCC
rnacentral:rRNA from 1 species